CCACUCCAGUGAAGAAGCUCUAUUAGAGCUGGUCUUUUGUCUUACAAUAGUCCCGAAACAUUCUGUGAUUUAUGUGGUGUACUCCAUAUUGAUAGUCAGAUCCAUGGCAUCUGACAUGCUGAGAUGGUGGAAGUGCCUCUACAGCACACAAAACUUGCAUGUCCUUAAAAACUGGUGGAGCAAAGUUUGAUUAACUGCUGGAGAGAAAGAGCCUCUGCCAGCACAAGUUUGGCUUAAUCCAAAUAGAUCAAGACAAGCAUGAAGAUUGCUUCAACAGGGAGCCUCCAAGUUAUUAUGAACCUAUUUAUUUUGUUAUAUGAAGAGAUAUACAGUACGGGACUGUUCAUCCUCACCAUCAGCAAUCUUGAAGCUACAGUAGAAGAGUUUUCACCCUGUAUUUGUUCAACUUUGACUCACAGUGCACAGAAUAAAAUUUUAUAUUGAAAUCUUACAUGUUAUAGGUUCUUGGUUGCUUUGUCUUUUAGUGCAGAUAGCAAUGUUGUAUUAACUAAAAGGGCUAUUCAGUUUGGAGAGGUAUAGUUAAUCCACGCACUCAAACUUUUUCCCAAAGAAACUCAAGUCAAAGCUUUCCAUGAAAUCAGAAACUCAUUAUUGUAAUAAAGGUACUUGAACAAGACCACCGAGUCACACUACUAGAUACAUUGGACUUGCCACAGGGAUUUGUUCCUGAAUAAGAUUGUACAUGGAACAAGGUGUAGAAGUUAGAUGACUAAUGGGGAUAAUAUGUAAAGGGAACUAGCAUAGACUACAAGAGGGAGAGCAAUGCACCUGAAGCUGAUUAUGAUAGGCAGUGAUGAGCUUAGUGGUGUUCCAUGACGGACACCAGUGUUUACUUCAUAUAUUCCAAACCUUUCUGCUAUAGUAUUCAGUCAAGUUCUCAUAUCAUGAAGUACUGACAUUUGCUCAGUGAGUUUCUUGUCCCCAUUACCUUUGUAAUACAGUACUUUAAUCCCUUGUCUGGGUACUCCAUUCAGGGUUAUCUAAUAUAUAGUAACAUGUUACUUCCUAUUCUUGCAUAGCUCUGCUCAUGUGGCUGUUUGAUACUUCUCACAUAGUUGUGACAGAUUUUUUUUCUUAACCAUCCUUCCACUGCACCUACCUUACUUUUUGUAUAUCACAUUUCAUCAGUCUUUUUAUUCUCUGUUUUACACUUUGUAAUGAGUUGCCUAAACUUUUACUUAUAGCUGGUGUGAUUUCUCUUCGCUCUCAUUCUUCUGGUUCUUUCAAUCUUUACUGUUUUAAAGUGCCUUGCACUAUUUCGUUCUUUAGUCUUGUGUCUUAUUUGUUUACAGUACACUUACAUGCAGUAUAUGCAUUUGUUGAAUCACAUAUGUUGGUAUUCAUCUGUUGUUUCCAUUUCCUGUAAUCCACAUAGGGUAUACUAUCUUAUGGAUUUUAAUUGUGUUCCAAAGGAAUAUAGUGUUUGUACAUCUUGAAUUGUCAUUUAUUUCUAUAGGUUUUGGUCAAUUCCUUGACGACUAAUUCUCCUCCCGCAUUGUUGACACUUUAAGGCUUCUCCUAACAUCUUCAGAUGUUGUAUUCUGUACUGAGCUUUGUGUCUUAGCAACACCCUUUAAUUCUCUUCAUUCCAGAGAAUGUGCAAGUACUGCCUUCACUUUGCUGUUUGCAAGGGCCAGGGUGCUUUUUGUGCUCCUCUUCUAAUUUCCAGAAAUUCUCAUUGUCCAUGAAGUUUGUAUGGGAGACUUUGAGUUAACAUGUUGAUCAUGACUCCCUUAUUUUCACAAUUAGAAAUGUGGAAGUUGAUGGACCAUUUCAUCAUAGUAGUCUUUUGUAAUGUUCAACUUAUAAAUUUCAUAGAUUUGUUGUUGGCCAUUAUGGUGACUACAGGAAUUUAACUCUGAUGUUCCUUUGGGCAGUGUU